GAGCAGACACAGGCUCCUAAACCCAAAGCAGCGCAAACACCAAAGCAGAGAGGACGUGCCUUCUGCUCAAAGGGAUCGCUGGACGGGGGUGUUUCCAUCAGUGUCGGCCCCAGACACGGUGACAUGGGGGCUGUACUGAAGGGCUCUUGGGACCCCCAUCCCCCGACAGGCUUACCACCCGGCCCUGCGAUUUAUGAACAAGUUUCAGUGAGAAGCCAACGCCUGGCCUCAGCUGCGCAGCCCUCCGAGCGUCCCAGGUCCGUAAGCAAGCUGCCGUUUGCAGCUGGGUGUUCAUGACUGUUCUUGCCGGCGAACGUCACGUCGCGUUCCACGAUCCCGUGCAGGGAAGGUUCGAUCCAGCCAGUGGUGCCUUCAGGGAGGCUAAACCUGACCGACCGGAGCAGACGCCGGCCAUUUCCCGUUAGGCGUUCAACUCUGGAAAUGGCCUGAGAGGUAACAUAGCCUGAAUCCAUGACGUUACAGAUGUGGAAACUGGGGCCAGGGGACAGCAGGUAAGCUCCUGACAUCUGCGCCCCA